CAUGUGGUUUAAUUCGAUGCAACGCGAAGAACCUUACCUGGGCUUGAACUGUAUUUGACAACUGUAGAGAUACAGCCUUCUCAGCAAUGAGACAGGUGCAGAGGUGCUGCAUGGCUGUCGUCAGCUCGUGUCGUGAGAUGUUGGGUUAAGUCCCGCAACGAGCGCAACCCUUAUCAUUAGUUGCCAGCUGGUAAAGCAGGGGACUCUAGCGAAACUGCCACCGUAAGGUGAGAGGAAGGUGGGAUGACGUCAAAUCAGCACGGCCCUUAUGUCCAGGGCUACACACGUGUUACAAUGGCCGGCACAGAGGGCAGCUACCUGGUGACAGGAUGCUAAUCUCGAAAACCGGUCUCAGUUCGGAUCGAAGUCUGCAACUCGACUUCGUGAAGCUGGAUUCGCUAGUAAUCGCGCAUCAGCCAUGGCCGCGGUCGAAUACGUUCCGGCCUU
rnacentral:rRNA from 1 species